rnacentral:lncRNA from 1 species
GUUGCAUAUUAUUACCCACAUCGCCGGAAUUAUAACGGUAUUAAUCGCAAUGUACGUAGAAUUUUGUGAAAUAGUGCCACAUAAAUCAGCGAGUCUUGUAAUUUUGUCUAGUCGAUUUGCCGCGCCGUCGACGUCGCUUGGCAUCGUCUUAUCUUAGUUGAUUGUUCAGUACUCAGUCGGUAAGUUACUAGCGACCGGUGUCAACGUUCGCAGUUGGCAACAAUAAAUCGUUUUCAUUACCUAAUAAAAUAAUUAAAUCAAGCGGUAAUGAAUAACACCGCGAUAAAAGUACAAUCGAAAAGAAGACUAACAUAAUUCGCGCGUGGGUGGGCCACUGUUGUAGGUGAGAAGUUGGGUAUAACCAUAGCUAACUGCACAUGUCAUAUUAUGGUAAAAUAAUUACGCAUGCAUUACAUAUAUUUUAUUUAAUAAUAAUAUUUGUUUAAUAUUGUACCUAUUUUCCUCACGUUUUUCCUCCGUUCUUUUCCAGUUCUUCUCAUUUAUUGGGAAUAUCAAAUAAUGACUUCCCUAAAGUCAGAUUUUUUUUAAGAAAAGAUGCUAUUCUUUGAUACUUCGGAGUUUGGAGCAAGAUUUCUGGUGGAAUUUUUGUACACAGUAUAAAAAAAUAAACAACUGUAAAACCAAUAUGCAGUCCUCGCUCCACUCAGAAUCUAAAAGACAUAACUGUACAUCAGAACCAAACAAACGUAAGUCCAAAAAUUAUUAUUGAUUAGAUUAUUACAUUAUUCGCAUGUAAUAUAAUAUGUUUUCCAUCGAGCCAUAAUAAUGGAAGUCUAUUAAAAAUACUCCUUCCAUAAUUUUACCAGGGUUAUACAUAAGUCCUGAUAUAUGGCAAGAAAUAACGUGCCCUCCUUUUUUUUGCUAAAAAAUAAUGUUACUUACGUUCACCUGGUUUUGAGGUACAGUACAUUUUUCUGUUCUUCCCGUGUAUUUUUCGGUUUUGCCUAGUUAUUAAAAAAACCAUACAGAAAAUCAAAAAUCGACUUUCUUACUAAAAAAAAAAACGGAUUAAAAUCUCUUGUUGUUUUUCAAUUGAAACAGUAAUUUUGGUGGAAAACAUCGUGAAUAAAAAUUAAAAACAAUGAACACGGUACGCCGUAAAUAUUUACCGUUUUAUCUAUAAUUUUCUUUCCCGUUUUUCCUGAUUAUUUUGAAAAACCCCAUAGAAAAUGAAAAAUUACCUGCUCAAUGCAUUAACUAGAGAAAAUUAACUUUCAGAAAAGAUUCUACAGUUACCCUGGAGCAAAAGUUCUUAAAAAAAGUUGUUCACAAACAGUAAAAGGAAUACACACAUCAUAGUAAAACAAAUACUCUCCAAAUCCAAAAUGACAUACUUUUACGCUUUACUUGUAGACUAACAAAAUAUCGAAUAUUUAAGUGUGACCGUAGCACAAAUUAUGGAUCUAAUAAAUCCAUAUAAAAAAAAACCUUAAAAAUUACAAACGGCAUAAAAUACUUAAAACAAAAAAGAACCAAAAUGUGAAUGCAAAAAAAAAUAUAGUGUAAAUUGCAAAUGUCUACGGUUAUUUCCUACUGAAUUUUAUACACCAAAAAUAUAAAAUCGAUUUUGUCGAAACCAGUGGAGUUGUGAUGUUUAUACAAUUAUACCUAAAUAUUCCAGUUUUCCGACGUUUUUUUACUUUGAUUUUUCCUUCUUAUUAAGAAAAGUACAAGAGAUUAAAAAAAUGAAUAAUAAAAAUAUAACUUCCCCGAUGCAUCAACUAUAAAUCUGACACGUGGUACAAAAAAAGAGACUCCUGUUAAAAUUUUCGAUUAGAGUCAGUCUAAUAUGGUCGAAAACUUUUUCACAAAAUGAAAAACACAUAUUUCAGUAAAAUAUAAAAUAACCAUGCUUAGAAUUAACAAAAUUGAAGUCCCGAAUAUUUUUCGGCUCAUCCUUCUGAAAAAAAUUACUGAUUAUCUGAUUACUUUACUAGAUUACUUUAAUAUGCAGAAUAUAUUAUGCUCUGCACGUGAACACUAACACCGAACACUUACCUAUAUUAGACGUGAUCACCGCGCCUCUUUUUAAGGCGGGAGAGUGGUCUGACAACUUAAAUAUUAGAUGGGUGUGUGGGAGGAGGGUAGGUAUGUGCUAUUUGUUUAUUUUGCCGCACCGGACAAAAAAAAAAAAAACAAAACAAAUAUUUCGGCGCCAUUACCCUGCACGUUACGGUCAUCGCAUACCGACAAAGUACGAAAUUACUCCCCCGCGAGUCGUGAUGAUGUUGACUACUGCAACAUCGAGUGUUGAACUACUAUCCCUUAGGGUCAACUGUUAUGGGUAAAACUAUAUUUUUUUUUUGUGUUAAAUGACGCGGGGUAUCCCACUGGAAUUGAAUUGGAAAUUCUGCAGACCAGCACGGAAAAACUUUUUUUUUGAUACCUGUGUAGCGACCCACUAGUCAUUUUAUGAUUUUUUUUUUUCGAAUAUUUUUAUAAUAUUAUUUAAGUUACCUUGCUGAGGCGCGGUAACUUUCAGCUCAAUAGUUAAUUUUCAUACGAUCAAAGUUUCAGUUGAGAAUAAUAUUAUGGUCGAAGUAUAGCAUAUAGUAUAAAUGUUUGUAAAACCAGUGGGACUACGGCAUAGAUUUUUUUUUUAAACCUGGGCCUCAACCGAACCGUUCAAAAUUAUUAGUUGUGGAUGGUCGUGGGCUUGGAGGUGGUGCAAGCUGUGUACUCACACAGACCCCCGCGUUGCAUUACAAUCAUAGCAGAUAUUAGUUUCACAUAAUUAGUACAUUUAGUUAAAUAUAAAUCAAAUGUAAUGGACAAAAAACAAUAUUAAAGAUUUGCCUAAAAGACAGGGUCGGACUGGCUCUAAAAGGCCUACUGUACACUUUUAUUUAAAAGGCCUUCAAAAAAUCUCAAUCGCCAGAGCCAUGUGGCAUUCAGGGGACAACAUUCAAGUUAUGCAUCCUUGUAAAUAGGUAACUCGAGUUAGAGAUAUCCUGACGCAUGUAAGUAACAGUUCCGCGUAAUAUUGUUAUGAAUUAUGUCAAAAGCUAUGGAUUUUAUCCAUCUAUGGUCCCGCGGCUAUGCACUUGUGCUUUGUCUAGGCCAUGAGUUUCCUGUCGAAGGACUACAUCUAUUUUAAGUUCACGUAAUAAUCGAACUGAAUAGCUACUUUUAUCUCUGCUUAAGCCUUCAACGUUGUGUUGGAAAAUAAUUAGCCGAGGUCCAAUAUCUUGGAUUGAGAAGCCCUUAAAAUGGAUGUUUUCAAAAUCUGUGUUACUCAUAGUUGCUGUGAAAUCGGAGAGACCAGUAUAGCAGUCGAUGCUAGUAAAUCUUUAACCGUAUAUAAGACGUUGCCCGGGGUACACUAUGUGAAAGCGAUUUACCUUUGUAUCCCAUUUAGCCUUUGCAUGGCCUUUUAAAACAAGACGUAUAACCGAACUACGUUCCGAGACAUUAUUCGUAAGCAAUGAUUUAUCAUUGCUUACAGAUAUAAAUUAAAUAACUUUAUGUAUUCUACAUUCCCAACUUCACACCAAUUAUAGUGGCACACCCAUGCUCAGUAUCAGUUCUUUUUUUAAAUUUCAAUCCGCCAUCAACUUAAUUUUAUUCCUGCAUCGGAAUUCGAAACGCGUGUUUAAUGUGUAUAUUGCAAAUAUAUACGAUACAACCAAUAAUAGUAAUAAUUAUUUUAUUGUUAUCUUUAAUCUUUAUCUACUAUACAAAUAUUGGAAGCAAGUUACAUA